UGCCCAAUAAGUAGAAGGCUUUGGCCCAGAUACCCCCUUCAGAAGACAUCCCCAGACUGGCCUAGGGACACUGGUGUGACCUCACCUUGCAGCCCCCAAAGAAGGAAUUGGGAAUGUUGGGUCUAAACUUUUGGUGAACUUUGGGGAGCCAAAACACACCCAGACUGGCCGUCUCUGCAUAAUCCUUUCUGAACCCUUUAUCGAACAAAGCACUGACCUGCAAACUACUCAUGACACCCCCUUUAUUAAGUAGCCAUUAGCCUUUAUCUCUAUGCAUUUACUUGUUAAACUUGCUUUUCCUGUAAAAUAUUGAUUGAUUAUGCAUGACCAUUAUCUUUUGUUAAUCACUUUGUUUACUUCUGUGUAUAAAUAUUGAUGCUCACCCCUAAUAAAGGGGCCACACUUAAUCUAAA